rnacentral:lncRNA from 1 species
AGUAAGUAUGGAAAGAAGGAAGAGGGAGAGACCGAAUAAUGCACAGAAAUUUACCACUAUAAUUCAUUCCAUCGUUCACGCACGUUUUAUAUUCAAAUGUCACACCCUCCACCUUCAUUUUAUUUAUUCAUUUAUUCAUUUAUUUACAACUCUACUUCUGGAGGAAAAACGAAUCUACAACAAAUACACACAAGGCGGUCGUGCCCAGUCGUACGUACGUGGUCGUCGCACAUAGGUGGUCGUUGUAUGUAGAUGGUCAUCGUACAUAGGUGGUCGUCGCACAUAGGUGGUCGUCGUACAUAGGUGGUCGUCGUACAUAGGUGGUCGUCGCACAUAGGUGGUCGUCGUACAUAGGUGGUCGUCGCACAUAGGUGGUCGUCGCACAUAGGUGGUCGUCGCACAUAGGUGGUCGUCGUAUUUAGAUGGUCGUCGUAUUUAGGUGGUCGUCGCACAUAGGUGGUCGUCGUACAUAGGUGGUCGUCGUACAUAGGUGGUCGUCGUACAUAGAUGGUCAUCGUACAUAGGUGGUCGUCGUACAUAGGUGGUCGUCGUACAUAGAUGGUCGUCGUACAUAGGUGGUCGUCGCACAUAGGUGGUCGUCGUACAUAGGUGGUCGUCGCACAUAGGUGGUCGUCGCACAUAGGUGGUCGUCGCACAGAGGUGGUCGUCGUACAUAGGUGGUCGUCGUAUUUAGGUGAUCACUCAGUCGUUCUCAAGGUGAAGGUCGUGACACGGAAGAUGUAUUUGCUUCACUUGAAAGGAAUGUUGUUGAAUUAUAGACAUUGGCCGUGAAGACCGACGGGCGAAUCAUAGAAUACAGUCAAUAAAAGUAAAGAGGGAAAUGCAAUGAUACAGUUGAUAGAAUAGAAGGAUUAAUAAAAUGCGUCUGUAAUGAUAUAUAU